rnacentral:rRNA from 1 species
UACAGAGGUCCCAAGCGUUGUUCGGAUUCACUGGGCGUAAAGGGUGCGUAGGCGGGUCUUUAAGUCAGGGGUGAAAUCCUGGAGCUCAACUCCAGAACUGCCUUUGAUACUGAAGAUCUUGAGUUCGGGAGAGGUGAGUGGAACUGCGAGUGUAGAGGUGAAAUUCGUAGAUAUUCGCAAGAACACCAGUGGCGAAGGCGACACACUGGGCCAUUACUGACGCUGAGGCUCGAAAGCGUGGGGGA